rnacentral:tRNA from 1 species
GCCGGUGUAGCUUAGUGGUAAAGCAACACUUUCGUAAAGUGAAGAGCGACGGUCCGAUUCCGUCCACCGGCUCCA